rnacentral:snRNA from 1 species
AUACUUACCUGGCAGAGAGAUACCAUGAUCACGAAGGUGAUUUUCCCAGGGCGAGGCUCAUCCAUUGCACUCCGGAUGUGCUGACCCCUGCGAUUUCCCCAAAUGCGAGAAACUCGAGUGCAUAAUUUGUGGUAGUGAGGGACUGCGUUCACGCUUUCCCUGA